AGAUCGAGUCCCACGCAACAACUACCUGUGAACCGGGUCAGGUCCGGAAGGAAGCAGCCCUAAGCAGGCAAGUGUGUGCCGUGGGAGUGCUCGAUCUGAGCUUGG
rnacentral:SRP_RNA from 1 species